rnacentral:lncRNA from 1 species
UUGUGCAUAUGCACAGGAGUGUGCUUAAUUGCCGAUCUCUGUAACUUCUUAAUUGAACUUUGUAUCUCCUAUUUGUUCUAUCAAAUUCAUUGAUGUCAUCUUUGCUUUUCCUUUUCUUUUUAUUUUUUUGCUGGGUGGUUCUUAUAAAGAUACUAGCUCUUUAAUGAUUAUUUCGAUUAGAUUAAGAAAAUUUGUGUUCAUGCAUUUCAUUUUUGAGCAGGAGUACAAAUAUUAUGUGUAAUGAAAGAGAAGCAGAUGGUAGUCUAAUUCUUUUUAAGUAGCCAUCUUUCACUUCAUUUUUUAAUAUUAAUUUUUUACCAUACUUAUUGGUUGUUUGAUAAUUUGAUUUUGAAAAGUUGUUUUCCUCUACUCUAGUCAGGUGAUGAAUUUCGGGUUUCGAAUUUUCUAGAAUUCUUUUUCAUAUUCCAUGCAGAAGCUUUAAGGCUUUUUAUUUGUAAAAAUGUGCAGGAAACAACAUUAAAUCCUUUAUGGAUGUCAGGCUUCUUGGUAAUGGUUUUGGAACCACUCAUGGAAUGAUGAGAAAUAAUCUCAUUUGGGUUGUUUCAAGAAUGCAAGUUCAAGUGGAUUGAUCAUUAUCCGAUUUGGUAUUGAACUACACUAUAUUAACAUAUAUAUUCAAAUGACACUAGCACUGAAUUUCUGAGGAACAUGCGCAAUGGAAAAUUUUUAACAUAAAAAAAGAUUAAAUUUAGACAUUUGUUUCAUAACAAUGUUGUAUGUGUCAAUAGGGGUGAAGUAAUGGAGAUAGACAUAUGGGUUGGAGCAAGGUUGCAGGCUUGGUCUUGUGGUAAGCAAUGGACUAAUAAGAAAGCUUGUAUUUUGUUCUGUUUUCUCAAACUCAAACAAGGUAAAAGAGCUGAAAGAUUUACAUCAUUACCUGCAAAAGUUCUGUUAAAUGCUAUUGCUGAAUCUUACACAUAAUAAGAAACUUCUGUGGAUAGAAACUGUUGAAUGCAUUAUGUUAACAGGUCUUUGUAAUAUUUUGUGCAUACAUACUAUGAACAUAUUAAUUCUUGCUUUCGCAUUUAUUCUAUAUUGGAUGAAGAUAUCAGAAAUUAUAUUACUUUUUACUCAAAAUGAACUUCAUUACUUUCUCUCUCAUUUAUUCCUUAAUGGAACGGAG